rnacentral:tRNA from 1 species
CGAAAUAUAGCUUAAUUAAAGUACCUUGCUUACACCAAGAAGAUGUUAUGUAAAUCAAACUAUUUCGAG